ensembl:snRNA U1 U1 spliceosomal RNA
AUACUUACCUGGCAGGGGAGUUGCUAUGGUCACAUAAAUAAGGUUUUUCCAGAAUGGGACUGAACUCAUGCACUCUGGAUGAGUUCAAAAUUUCUCCAAAUAUGAGGAACUCCACUGAAUAGUUUUGGGUAGUGUAUUCACAUUCAUCUCUAUAUU